GACAGAGGGGGCAAGCGUUGCUCGGAAUCACUGGGCGUAAAGGGCGCGUAGGCGGGAUGGCAAGUCGGUCGUGAAAUCCUUCGGCUCAACCGAAGAAACGUCGGCCGAUACUGCCGUUCUUGAGGGAUGCAGAGGAGAUUGGAAUUCCCGGUGUAGCGGUGAAAUGUGUAGAGAUCGGGAGGAACACCGGUGGCGAAAGCAGGCUUCUGGGCCGUCACUGACGCUGAGCUGACGAAGGCUAGGGGAGCAAACAGG
rnacentral:rRNA from 1 species